rnacentral:rRNA from 1 species
GGGUGGUGGAAAGAUUUAUCGGUGCAGGAUGGGCCCGCGGCCUAUCAGCUUGUUGGUGGGGUAAUGGCCUACCAAGGCGACGACGGGUAGCCGACCUGAGAGGGUGACCGGCCACACUGGGACUGAGACACGGCCCAGACUCCUACGGGAGGCAGCAGUGGGGAAUAUUGCACAAUGGGCGAAAGCCUGAUGCAGCGACGCCGCGUGAGGGAUGACGGCCUUCGGGUUGUAAACCUCUUUCAGCAGGGACGAAGCGCAAGUGACGGUACCUGCAGAAGAAGCACCGGCUAACUACGUGCCAGCAGCCGCGGUAAUACGUAGGGUGCAAGCGUUGUCCGGAAUUACUGGGCGUAAAGAGUUCGUAGGCGGUUUGUCGCGUCGUUUGUGAAAACCAGCAGCUCAACUGCUGGCUUGCAGGCGAUACGGGCAGACUUGAGUACUGCAGGGGAGACUGGAAUUCCUGGUGUAGCGGUGAAAUGCGCAGAUAUCAGGAGGAACACCGGUGGCGAAGGCGGGUCUCUGGGCAGUAACUGACGCUGAGGAACGAAAGCGUGGGUAGCGAACAGGAUUAGAUACCCUGGUAGUCCACGCCGUAAACGGUGGGCGCUAGGUGUGGGUUCCUUCCACGGAAUCCGUGCCGUAGCUAACGCAUUAAGCGCCCCGC